AUUGAACGCUGGCGGCAUGCUUUACACAUGCAAGUCGAACGGUAACAGGUUAAGCUGACGAGUGGCGAACGGGUGAGUAAUGCAUCGGAACGUGCCCGAUCGUGGGGGAUAACGCAGCGAAAGCUGCGCUAAUACCGCAUACGAUCUGCGGAUGAAAGCGGGGGACCGUAAGGCCUCGCGCGAUUGGAGCGGCCGAUGUCAGAUUAGGUAGUUGGUGGGGUAAAGGCCCACCAAGCCGACGAUCUGUAGCUGGUCUGAGAGGACGACCAGCCACACUGGGACUGAGACACGGCCCAGACUCCUACGGGAGGCAGCAGUGGGGAAUUUUGGACAAUGGGCGAAAGCCUGAUCCAGCAAUGCCGCGUGCAGGAAGAAGGCCUUCGGGUUGUAAACUGCUUUUGUACGGAGCGGAAAGGCCCUUUCUAAUACAAGGGGCUCAUGACGGUACCGUAAGAAUAAGCACCGGCUAACUACGUGCCAGCAGCCGCAGUAAGAC
rnacentral:rRNA from 1 species